rnacentral:rRNA from 1 species
UGGGCGCAAGCCUGAUGCAGCGACGCCGCGUGAGGGAUGACGGCCUUCGGGUUGUAAACCUCUUUCAGUAGGGAAGAAGCGAAAGUGACGGUACCUGCAGAAGAAGCGCCGGCUAACUACGUGCCAGCAGCCGCGGUAAUACGUAGGGCGCAAGCGUUAUCCGGAAUUAUUGGGCGUAAAGAGCUCGUAGGCGGUUUGUCGCGUCUGCCGCGAAAGUCCGGGGCUCAACUCCGGAUCUGCGGUGGGUACGGGCAGACUAGAGUGAUGUAGGGGAGACUGGAAUUCCUGGUGUAGCGGUGAAAUGCGCAGAUAUCAGGAGGAACACCGAUGGCGAAGGCAGGUCUCUGGGCAUUAACUGACGCUGAGGAGCGAAAGCAUGGGGAGCGAACAGGAUUAGAUACCCUGGUAGUCCAUGCCGUAAACGUUGGGCACUAGGUGUGGGGGACAUUCCACGUUUUCCGCGCCGUAGCUAACGCAUUAAGUGCCCCGCCUGGGGAGUACGGCCGCAAGGCUAAAACUCAAAGGAAUUGACGGGGGCCCGCACAAGCGGCGGAGCAUGCGGAUUAAUUCGAUGCAACGCGAAGAACCUUACCAAGGCUUGACAUGGACCGGAAACACCUGGAAACAGGUGCCCCGCUUGCGGCCGGUUCACAGGUGGUGCAUGGUUGUCGUCAGCUCGUGUCGUGAGAUGUUGGGUUAAGUCCCGCAACGAGCGCAACCCUCGUUCCAUGUUGCCAGCGCGUAAUGGCGGGGACUCAUGGGAGACUGCCGGGGUCAACUCGGAGGAAGGUGGGGACGACGUCAAAUCAUCAUGCCCCUUAUGUCUUGGGCUUCACGCAUGCUACAAUGGCCGGUACAAAGGGUUGCGAUACUGUGAGGUGGAGCUAAUCCCAAAAAGCCGGUCUCAGUUCGGAUUGGGGUCUGCAACUCGACCCCAUGAAGUCGGAGUCGCUAGUAAUCGCAGAUCAGCAACGCUGCGGUGAAUACGUUCCCGGGCCUUGUACACACCGCC